rnacentral:rRNA from 1 species
UACGAACUGUGCGAACGUUACUCGGAAUCACUGGGCUUACAGGGUGCGUAGGCGGCUUGUUAAGUAGGGUGUGAAAGCCCCCGGCUCAACCGGGGAAUGGCGCCCGAAACUGGCGAGCUGGAGUGAGAUAGGGGUGUGCGGAACUUCCGGUGGAGCGGUGAAAUGUGUUGAUAUCGGAAGGAACGCCGGUGGCGAAAGCGGCACACUGGAUCUCAACUGACGCUGAGGCACGAAAGCGUGGGGAGCAAACAGG